rnacentral:tRNA from 2 species
GCGCUCUUAGCUCAGCUGGAUAGAGCAAUAGCCUUCUAAGCUAUAGGCCGCUGGUUCGAGUCCAGCAGGGCGCACCA